CUGUCUCGAGAGGACUGCGGACUGCUGUCGCGAGGCCUUCGGGUCGCGUUAUGGCGGGAAACAGUUCAAUCGCAAUGGCUUGAACCGGGUAAAAGUCGUAACAAGGUAUCUGUAGGUGAACCUGCAGAUGGAUCAUCGUCGAAACCUUUUAUGGUUUAUUC
rnacentral:rRNA from 1 species